AUUGAACGCUGGCGGCAGGCUUAACACAUGCAAGUCGAGCGGAGCGAGGGUGCUUGCACCUUAGCUUAGCGGCGGACGGGUGAGUAAUGCUUAGGAAUCUGCCUAUUAGUGGGGGACAACGUUCCGAAAGGAACGCUAAUACCGCAUACGUCCUACGGGAGAAAGCAGGGGACCUUCGGGCCUUGCGCUAAUAGAUGAGCCUAAGUCGGAUUAGCUAGUUGGUGGGGUAAAGGCCUACCAAGGCGACGAUCUGUAGCGGGUCUGAGAGGAUGAUCGGCCACACUGGGACUGAGACACGGCCCAGACUCCUACGGGAGGCAGCAGUGGGGAAUAUUGGACAAUGGGCGGAAGCCUGAUCCAGCCAUGCCGCGUGUGUGAAGAAGGCCUUUUGGUUGUAAAGCACUUUAAGCGAGGAGGAGGAACUCUAGAUUAAUACUCUAGAUGUUUGGACGUUACUCGCAGAAUAAGCACCGGCUAACUCUGUGCCAGCCGCCGCAGUAACAC
rnacentral:rRNA from 1 species